rnacentral:rRNA from 1 species
UAGUGAGUUUGAUCCUGGCUCAGGACGAACGCUGGCGGCGUGCCUAAUACAUGCAAGUCGAGCGGAUGACAGAGGAGCUUGCUCCUCUAGAUUCAGCGGCGGACGGGUGAGUAACACGUGGGCAACCUGCCCUGUAGAUUGGGAUAACUCCGGGAAACCGGGGCUAAUACCGAAUAAUCCUUCGGACCUCAUGGUCCGAUGUUGAAAGACGGCAUCUCGCUGUCACUACAGGAUGGGCCCGCGGCGCAUUAGCUAGUUGGUGAUGUAACGGCUCACCAAGGCCACGAUGCGU